UACGGGGGGAGCAAGCGUUGUUCGGAUUUACUGGGCGUAAAGGGCGCGUAGGCGGCCACCGCAAGUCGACUGUGAAAUCUCCGGGCUUAACCCGGAAAGGUCAGACGAUACUGCGGGGCUAGAGUGCAGAAGGGGCAACUGGAAUUCUCGGUGUAGCGGUGAAAUGCGUAGAUAUCGAGAGGAACACCUGCGGCGAAGGCGGGUUGCUGGGCUGACACUGACGCUGAUGCGCGAAAGCUAGGGGAGCGAACGGG
rnacentral:rRNA from 1 species